UGAGCCGGCUGGGUGACCGCGGUGGGAGCGAUCCCAUCGAGGAAAGUCCGGACUCCACAGGGCAGGGUGGUUGCCAACGGCAACCCGGGGCGACCCGCGGGACAGUGCCACAGAAAACAGACCGCCCGGCGAGCUUCGCCGGGUAAGGGUGAAACGGUGGUGUAAGAGACCACCAGCACCCCGGGUGACCGGGGUGGCUCGGUAAACCCCACCCGGAGCAAGGCCAAGAGGACGCCGUCGCGGCGUCUGCGCGGACGUUCGAGGGCUGCCCGCCCGAGUCCGCGGGUAGGCCGCACGAGCCUGUCGGCGACGGCAGGCCCAGAUGGAUGGUCACCGACCGGGACGGCCGCAAGGCCCCCGAGAACAGAAUCCGGCUUACAGGCCGACUCAUCCG
rnacentral:RNase_P_RNA from 1 species